CCUUCUCAAACACAUUGUGGUUGGUAGUGAGUGAUACCCCGUUUUGAGCUAACUUGAAAUUGUAGGCCAUAUCAGUAUGUGGGACACGAGCGCAAGCUUCUCUAUUAAUCUGCUGCUCGUUUGCGCGAGCGGCGGGGGUUAAUACUGUAUUAGGUUUUACCAACUCGGUGUUGAUCUAGGGAGGGAUAAGUGAGUGUUUUGUGCGUGCUGGGCAGACAGACGUCUUUAAG
rnacentral:misc_RNA from 1 species